rnacentral:tRNA from 3 species
GGGCUCGUAGCUCAGUUGGAUAGAGCAACAGGCUACGAACCUGUGUGUCGGGAGUUCGAAUCUCUCCGGGCCCACCA